rnacentral:rRNA from 1 species
GACGAACGCUGGCGGCGUGCUUAACACAUGCAAGUCGAACGGUGAAGCGAGUGCUUGCACUCGUGGAUCAGUGGCGAACGGGUGAGUAACACGUGAGUAACCUGCCCAUCACUCUGGGAUAAGCCCUGGAAACGGUGUCUAAUACUGGAUACGACCAACCCUUGCAUGGGGUGUUGGUGGAAAGAUUUAUCGGUGAUGGAUGGACUCGCGGCCUAUCAGCUUGUUGGCGGGGUAAUGGCCCACCAAGGCGACGACGGGUAGCCGGCCUGAGAGGGUGACCGGCCACACUGGGACUGAGACACGGCCCAGACUCCUACGGGAGGCAGCAGUGGGGAAUAUUGCACAAUGGGCGAAAGCCUGAUGCAGCGACGCCGCGUGAGGGAUGACGGCCUUCGGGUUGUAAACCUCUUUCAGCAGGGAAGAAGCGAAAGUGACGGUACCUGCAGAAGAAGCACCGGCUAACUACGUG